rnacentral:rRNA from 1 species
ACUCCUACGGGAGGCAGCAGUGGGGAAUUUUGGACAAUGGGCGAAAGCCUGAUCCAGCAAUGCCGCGUGAGUGAAGAAGGCCUUCGGGUUGUAAAGCUCUUUUGUCAGGGAAGAAACGGUGAAAGCUAAUAUCUUUUGCUAAUGACGGUACCUGAAGAAUAAGCACCGGCUAACUACGUGCCAGCAGCCGCGGUAAUACGUAGGGUGCAAGCGUUAAUCGGAAUUACUGGGCGUAAAGCGUGCGCAGGCGGUUUUGUAAGUCUGAUGUGAAAUCCCCGGGCUCAACCUGGGAAUUGCAUUGGAGACUGCAAGGCUAGAAUCUGGCAGAGGGGGGUAGAAUUCCACGUGUAGCAGUGAAAUGCGUAGAUAUGUGGAGGAACACCGAUGGCGAAGGCAGCCCCCUGGGUCAAGAUUGACGCUCAUGCACGAAAGCGUGGGGAGCAAACAGGAUUAGAAACCCGGGUAGUCCCA